rnacentral:rRNA from 1 species
UACGUAGGGUGCAAGCGUUAAUCGGAAUUACUGGGCGUAAAGCGUGCGCAGGCGGUUUUGUAAGUUUGUCGUGAAAUCCCCGGGCUCAACCUGGGAAUGGCGAUGAAGACUGCAAGGCUAGAAUCUGGCAGAGGGGGUAGAAUUCCACGUGUAGCAGUGAAAUGCGUAGAGAUGCGGAGGAACACCGAUGGCGAAGGCAGCCCCCUGGGCUAACACUGACGCUCAGGCACGAAAGCGUGGGGAGC